rnacentral:rRNA from 1 species
CCUUGUACACACCGCCCGUCAAGUCAUGGGAGCCGGUAGAGCCCAAAGUCGCCACGAUACUGUGGUGCCCACGGCAAGAUCGGUGACUGGACU